rnacentral:tRNA from 1 species
UCCCUGGCAGUCCAGCGGUUAGGACUUGGCACUUUCAAUGCCAUGGGCCCAGGUUCAAUCCCUGGUUGGGGAA